GAGUUGAGUUGGUUACAGCAUGGUGCUGAUAAUACCAAGGCCACAGGUUUGAUCCCUGUAUGGAAUA